rnacentral:lncRNA from 1 species
UGACAAUUAAAAAUGGAAAAUAAUAAAAUUCCUUUUGUUUCUCGUGAUCUUCUUUUUCGUGUUGCUCUUGAAUUUCAUAUCAAGGGUACAAAAUUUUCUUGCUUUUAUCGCUAGAUCUAUGAAAAAUUUUCAAUUUUUGUGAAAAUUCACCUCUUAAAUCUUUUAAUAGGUUUAAUAGAGAAAAUUUUAUUUUCAAUCAAAGCUCCAUGUUGAAUCUCGAUUCCAUUCUUGCAAUGGCUGUCAAAGAACCUAGGACUGCUUGACGUGAUUAAUGAUGUUGCUAUUAUUCUGGAAUAGAUCUGCAGAAAGACCUGAUUUUCAAUCCCGUUAAGCAUGCCAUAGAAUCCCAUCGGAGCAAUCUUUGAAUCCCUACAAAGUAUCGGGUUAAAAAAAUACGAACAACAAGUCAGAAUCCAACAGGGAUCGAGUUGACCGAGUCAGAAUGAAGAAAACUGAACUCACCGGGAGAAAUCACUUCCCUCGACCAGAGAUGAAUCAACCCCCGAUCGAUUUGAGAGUUGUUUUUAAUCCAUAAGUUUGUGUUGGGGAAAGGUGGAGGAUUUGAUUCUUUACUGGGAAAAGGUGUUCGUGGGGUCCAUAUACCAGGUUAGUGUUUAAUCCAAAGGUUUGUUUUUCCUUGCUUUGUGAUUGUGUAAGCCAUGUGAUCAUGGUGAUGGUGAUGAUCACUAUAUUGUAAUUGCAUAUUUGGAAUUAUCACCGAAUCUCAAAAUCAAUAAACCUCUGCCAAAAUUCAACCCAAGAGUAUAUGUUUUAUCAAGGUCACCGGAGGUUGGUUUGAGUAGUUGAUGAUAAAGAAGAUGAGAUGUGCUGAAUUUUAAUUUUUUUUGCAAUGUUUGUUUUAAUUAUUAAGGGGUAUGUCAAUGUUUUCAUUCUUAUUUAACAGAAAAAAAUUCUAAUUUUAAGCGGA